rnacentral:lncRNA from 1 species
GGCUAUCAUCUUUCACCCACAUUCAAUUUUACAAACCCUAAAUCUCAUCUACGGCUUCAUCUUUAGCGAUUGUACUUGGCCAUACCCACUUCAGAAAUCCCUAAAACUCAAUCAUUCGAACUCUCAUCUAGCUUUCAUUGAAUUCAGUGCUAAGAACCCAAAAUCUAUAGAACCGGGCGAACAUUGAUAUGAUAGUGGCCUAUAUUAGGUUGGCCAUAGUUCAAGCUGGAGGUUUUCAGAUCAUCUUUAUGCUUUUGAGAUCUGAUUCAUACAUUUUCUUCACUACAGAGAGAUUUUAAUUUUAUUGAUCAUACAAGUAUUCCCGGAUGGAAAGAAUAAGAUAAAGUUGAUUGGUAAAGUUUGAGAUGCAUUGUUUGAAAGAAGCAAUCUGAAUCAUCUCUCUCAGAUCCUAUAUCGCAUAUGCUAAUGAUUUUUAAUCGACUUUGGUGAUUCGACUUGGUCACACUUUGCCACAAACGGGUCAAAUGGUUAAAUUUUCAUGGGCUUUUGGAAAUAAUGUCCAAGAAUUCAAUGAUUUGAAACGAGGAUCCUGCACUUCGUCAGGAAAUCGACCUUGAAGAUGAAAGAGUUGCAGGCACAUUGCAUUCUGUAUAGAUUGUGGAGUUUUAAUUGUAAAGGUUUACACCUGUGUUGCAAAACUCAAAUUAUAUGGCCUUUUGCUACAUCUUGCCGUAUAGCAUAGGCAUUAGUUAUCCGAUGAGAAACCAAAGGGCAAGGCAACCAUACAUUAUCAGCUUCGGCUUGCAGGUGGUAACUUUGUUCUAAGUGGUGACAAUCAUGGGAGAAGGAUAUCAACAUGAAAGAAAUGGAACAACAGUUGCAUGAGCAUGUGGGUCUACUAAGACAGAAUGAAUUAAUAAGAAUAAAUGCCAAGAAGGAGCUUAAAGAAAUGGAACUACAGUCACGAUUGGAUUGGCCUCAUAUGAUGAGGUAACAUUUCACAAUAAUAAUCAAAUAGAUAUAAUAAUUUACUACUUAUAUAUUUUUUUGGAACAAGGUGACUCUAUAUCACUGAGACAACCUUUAUCCACAUGCCAUUAAUCUCUUUUUCAAAAUUUGGAUCUCAAACCUUUUAUUUGGACUUUGUUUUAUAAGCAUUUAACGCCCCGUUUGCGGUAUGCGCCUAUAAUGUAUAUAUGUGUGGGCGUUCGGGGUGCAAAAGUGAAAGUACACUAAUUUUAACAUUAUUUUACUAAUUUCGUGAAAGUAACGUUAAAAAGGGAGAUGGUUAAUUAUGCAUCAUGUGGUGGCGUUGAUAGCCGAAAGACAAGGGGGUACAUGCACUAAUCGGCCUUUGUCUCAAUUGUUGAGUGUUAUGUGCCUUAUGUCCAAAGCUUGACGCAAAACUACUAUUUAGCCAGGGGUCUCACUGGAAGCAGCCGCUUUAUUCCUAUGGGGUAGAGGUAAGGCGGUCUACAUCUUACCUUUCCUAUACCCUACCUUAGAUUUGCUAUUGGCGGGAUUUACUAAGUAUGAUGAUGAUGAUGAUCAUUUUAUACGCAUUUAAAAUGUCAAUGUGGGUUAAUCGAUUUAUUGCUUUAGUUUAUAUAUGCAUCUAAAAUGUCAAUCAUUCUUUAUUCUUUAUGAAUUCCUUCUUCAAUUUAUUAUUUUAGGUUAAGAAUAACUAUUUUAUAACAAGUGAAAAAUAUGUAUAAUGAAGCUUACAAAGUAUCAUGUGAAAAAUAUGUUAUAUUUUUCCUAGGCUAUGGCCUCUGCACCUAUCUUUAUUCUUUCAUGCUUGACUAUGUAUAAUGAACUAUGUAUAUUGUCAUAAUUUCACAUAAAAGAAAUAGCGAUAUCUAAUUCUCUUGGUGUUAAUGAGCUGGUGAUUCCUGCAAUACCUGAACUUUACAAAACAUGGACCAAAGUGCUUGGCUUCAAGCAACUUGAUGAAUCGUCGAGGCAUGCAAUGAAGGGUGAGUUAUGAUAUAUUGUAUUUUAUCUGCUCUUGAGUUGCCAAAACGGGUGGGAUAGGUUGAGAUAAAGAUGGCUGAGCCGAAAAGGUUGGUGUCGAUUUCUCAUACGACAACCAUUCACGUUGUGGUAGUGUUAUCAAGUCAUACGGUGGUGGAUUUGGUAGGGGUUGGUGGUUAUGGCGGAAAAUCAGAGAGGGUAUAAUGAUUAUGGCAGUGGUUAUCACAGUUAUGUGGGAGGUUAUAAUGGUGGUUCUACAGUGGUUAUGGUGGAUAUGGGUAUGGGUUUGGGUUUGGUGGAUAUGGUUACGGCGGUGAUGGAUAUGUAGUUGGUUUUAGUGGUUAUGGAGGGAAUGCUGACUAUGGUGGAGGUCGGGGUUAUGGUACUGGUAGUGGAGGAGGUGGUGGUGUUGGUGGCAAAUGAUUUCAUAAGGGAGCUUGUGCUGCUGCUGGAUAUGGAUAUGGAUGGUAGUAAAGGGUAUGAUAAUGACAAUGGUGGCAGUGGUGGUGGAAGGCAUCAUCCUUAUCGGAAGUGAGAUGAUAUGAUAAUAGCAACUUAUUAUAUCAUCAAAGUUCGAGGACUUUGUAGCUUUUGUCAUCUGCUUUGUUCUAUGUGAAUCUUCUUGACCUGUGAUCUAUUAGUAACUUAGAAACUGAGUCAUGGAGUCGAAUUUGUUACCUACAUAACUAUCUUCUGUAUUGCCCCUAGAUCAUUUACAAUUAUAAAUGUAAAUGAUUUAUUUUAGUUUUUGUACAUCAUUUUUUUUGUUGAUUUGGAC